GCUAUGGCCAUGCUACCCUGAACAAGCCUGAUCCCAUCUGAUCUCGUAAGCUAAGCUGGGUCAGGCCUGGUUAAUACUUGGAUGGGAGACCACCUAGGAAGACCAGGUGCUGUAAGCG
rnacentral:rRNA from 1 species